GGGAAGCACCGCGGCAGCCUAGCCUCAGGCCUGCCCAGACGGUGUUCAGGGUCAAGAUGACCACACUCCACCCGAGGACAAAAGCCCCACAGGAGCUCACUGUCCUGCAGGAGAGGAGCAGACACACGUCCAAGAAGAUGAUUGCAUCUUUUCAUGGCUCUUCUCUGAGAAAUGAAGCCACACCAUGAUACAGUCUUGAAGAGGAAGCCGGGAAUGGGAGAUGGCAACAAUCCCUGUCACGGGAACGCUGGCCUCUCUGGACAAGUCACUGGUUAGGCCCCCCUCCCCUUGUGCCCAUGGGGGUGGCAAAGUGCUGUAUCCUACCUGAGCUCUGGCCCCUGCUCUGUCCUCCCUCUUGCUCUGUCUCCCCUGUUUCUGUGGUGCCUAGAUGCAUCUAGGUCUAGCUGAAUGUCUUCAACAAAGAUCACUUUCCAGUCCAUCAGGGAGACACUUGAUGGACAUGCGCAUCACUAUUUUUUCUCUCUGCCAAUCUGUUUCUGCUUAAUUGGGCUGGUUGGAUGACCCUGGAGAGAUUGACUUCCAUAGCUGUCUCAGAUAAGCAAGCUACCUUGGUCUCCAUGUUCCACCUCAUCGGUUGGUGGAUUGCCUAGAAUGAGCGGUAGGCCACUGUGACCAGCCUAGUCUUCUAAGACAGGCAGUGUCACAUUUCAUCUGCACUUCCAGUCUCAUUAUUGAGAAACAUUCUCUCCUCUGCUCCUGGGUGGACUGACUCCCUGAAUCUUUUGGCCUCCUCCUGGAUCCAGGUGUUCUUUGAUUUUCCUUGGCAUUGAUGGAAAGGUCACUUGUGCCCCCCUUCCACCUGGCACAUGCCUGAACACCAUCUUGUGUUUCACCAUCACCCCAUAUGCCUUCAGUGACACACAUUCACACCAUCUGCUCUGGGAUACGCCAGUGCCACGCAUGUUGGAAUUGACUCCACUUCGGAAUCGCCCUUGUCCCUGUUUGCAUGUGUCCUGAAAAGAGGUGUCAGCUUGCAAGGGCCCCAGAGCUUUUACAAGUGGGACAGGCGACUGCUCUUUCAAAGGAGGAGGGAGGCAGAGGGCUCAUGGGUUAGUGAUUUUUCUGCUGACACCACACCUUGAGGCCCAUGUGAUCAUUGUGCCCUGCAAGGAGGCCCUUCUUUUCUCAGCAGAUGUGGUGAGCCCAUCCGUCUUCACCCGGAGGGGUCCAAAAUCGGAUCUUAAGAGGGGUCUUCAGAUGCCAGCAGGUGCCCUGAAGCUCUCCCUCCACCGGUGGAAGUCAGCUUAAGGAAGUCUUUGAGACA
ensembl:lncRNA FAM182A family with sequence similarity 182 member A